rnacentral:rRNA from 1 species
UCGAGAAUCUUCCGCAAUGGGCGAAAGCCUGACGGAGCGACGCCGCGUGUAGGAUGAAGGCCCUCGGGUUGUAAACUACUGUCACGGGUUAUGAAUGUGCAUAUGUUAACAGCGUGUGUAUUGACGUAAGCCCGAAAGGAAGCACCGGCUAACUCUGUGCCAGCAGCCGCGGUAAUACAGAGGGUGCAAACGUUGUUCGGAUUUACUGGGCGUAAAGGGCGCGUAGGCGGCAUGACAAGUCACUUGUGAAAUCUCUGGGCUUAACCCAGAACGGCCAAGUGAUACUGUCGCGCUAGAGUGCAGAAGGGGCAAUCGGAAUUCUUGGUGUAGCGGUGAAAUGCGUAGAUAUCAAGAGGGACACCUGAGGUGAAGACGGGUUGCUGGGCUGACACUGACGCUGAGGCGCGAAAGCCAGGGGAGCAAACGGGAUUAGAUACCCAGGUAGUCCCUGAGCGGGCUGGCAAGGCGCAU